GAGGCACAGGAGCAAGAGAAGGAGCGGCCAUGCCAGACUGGGCCACAGGCGCCCUCAAGCUGUCGGCGGUGGCGUUGGCGGUGCUUUUCGGGUGGUUUUGGCUCUACGGCGCCGCCUUCUUCCCUUUAGUCGUCCUCUCGGCGCUUCUUCUGACCUCGGUCCUGCUCCUGCUCUGCGACGUUCGGCUGCUGCCGCGCCGCCAGCCUCCUCCUCCGCCUCCUCCUCGGCCCCGGCCCCGGCCCCGUCCAGCACAGCGGACAUCCGUUGCGAUGGCAGAAGUCGCGCAGAUGGCCAGAGGAUUGGCGCAGUUGGCCAGGCAAGCGGCUCAGGCAUUGGAAGAGGAACAGCAGGAAGCCAUAGCAGAGGAAGAGGCAUACGCUCCUGAAGAAUAGGAUGUUGGGUGCUGCUUUUACCUGCCUGGAAACUGCCUUCCGCCUUGAUGCUCUUCACAGACAAAUGAAGCUCCUCGGUGAGGACAACCCUGUUAGCAAGCUUCAGGUUAAGCUGGAGCCAGCUGAAACCGGAAGGCCCUCAGCAGAUGGGUGAAGAAAAGGAAGAGCUCCAUCCUUGCCAUUUGCUCACCCAGACACACUCGAGCCCCUGCAAGAGAUUGGAAUGCCUUGACGCUGCUUUUGUACCAACAUGGAGCCUGUGCAAGCUGCCAGGGAGAGGCAGGAGGAUGAAGGAGGCUGAGUAGGCAACUUGGACAAUAAAUAUUUAGAUUUUAAAUCCUA